CCUCUCUGCUUUGUGCCUCCUCUAAGUGUGCGCGGCGGAUCUUUGCUGUGGCGCUUGUGUUCCAGUCGAGCGGACUUCCGUCGAAUUGGCCCACCUGCGACCGCUCGUGCUUUCGGAUGCAGAAUUUGUUGCCUGUGCAGGGUUCUCCAGCCCUGCAAUAGCCCCGUUCGAGUGAUCUUUGCUCGAUAAGAAUGACCUCUGCGCCUGACUUGUCCCCUCGUCUCUUUGACGUUGGGGAUUGUUCGGGUUGCGGUGUCGCAAAGGAAUGCUACCUGGUUGAUCCUGCCAGUAGUCA
rnacentral:misc_RNA from 1 species